rnacentral:misc_RNA from 1 species
UGUCAUAACAAUCAAGGCAGUCAGAGCACCAGACAAGACAAUCGACUUGGGAUGGCGCAUUGCCAUGAGAGCUGCUAUUAUAAAAGUCUCAUCCCCAAUCUCGCUGACGAUAAUCAUGGACAAGCUCGCAAUAAAUGCAUCAAAAAUUCCAAGACCAGAGUCCACUUGAAGUCCAAGACCAACAGAAUUGAUGUCAAGGUCAUUGGCAAGUAUCAUGCCACGGCGGCCCAGAUCAAGCGAUACAGAUGAUUUUUCCUUCUCAUUUUCCUCCACAGAUUCCUGAGCAGCGAUGCAAGGAAGAGCCAGAAGUAGGAAGAAUGAAAGAAGGAGAAGUCUAGGGCAAGACCGAAACCCCAUCAUAAGAAAGAACAGAAGGUGAAGCGGAUGCCUAAGCCUGUGUUUGGCGAGAGAGAAAAGCAGGGGAGAUUAAAGGGGUUAAUUUUUUCGGGAAAGUGGAUCAGAAAGGAAGAAAGGAGAUAAAGGAGAUGGAAAUGACAAUCCAAAUACAGCUUUACAGGGAUUGAAAGGUACAGUUGUGAAGUAAUGAGAUCUA